AUUGAACCAGAACUCACAGUCUGGAGCAUAUGAAUCAAUACAGGUUGCCUAUACCUAUCUAGAUUACAUAAGUCCGAUCCACCGGGCCACCUGCCAUAUGACCGAGGAUUCAGAUAGACUACGCAGACGAAGCACUACGGAUUUCCUAUAUCUCAAUCUACAUGAAGUUAUAUAGAUGAUGACCUAUCAAUAUACCCAACGUCGGGGAACGGUUUAGACGCCACCAAUAGAUCAUUGGAGUAAAGAAAACUAAUGUGUCGCUUCCGCCCGCAUUAAAAAGCAUGCAAGGUGAAACACUCCUAAGACGCGGAUAACCAAUGACAAGCACCGAAGACAAUGUCGUUCAGACACUUCCUCGUGAAUAAUUGAAUAAUUGAAUAAUUAAAAACCAUCGUACAAAUCAAGUCCCCUAAAGUGCGCUUGCUUAGGCCAUACUAACCCGAACGGACCUUUGAACAGACACCACUUGCGGGCCUGACUCAACUAAUCCGUUCCUUCCACGAUAUUACUUUAAAUAUUUGAGACUUAUUCAUGUAUAUUGUAAAAAUAUUUUCGGAGUCAACGUUCGCCGGGACAAAAAGGUUGACUCCAUCCCCAAUCGUAUUUAAUACACAUCAAAAAAUCAAAUAUCUUACUGUUUAAAACCAACACAUUUAUGUUUUUAAGAAGCAGUGGCACACUAUUGCAUCGUAUACCGUUUCAACCUAUAAGCUAUUGAGUUAUGAUCUAUACCUAAAAUUUUCUUUUUGAUUAUCAAUUAGUUUGGAAUCCUAGGGGAAUAUCAUGGACUUAUAAUACGUCACAUCGCGCAGUUUUGUGAUUUUUACACUCCAUACAUCAAUUGAAUUAUUUUGGAUAUAUAUAUUCGAACGAUUAGGGAUGAAUUGGGAAAAUAGAGAGUCAUUCUUUCAUUAGGCUAAAUUAAUAAUUUAAAUAUGAAUUUAUAUUUUAUGUAUUGUAAUUACGUAUAUAAUUAGUAUUUGCAGUGGAUUAUAUUAUUGAAUUAUAAAAACAAUAACAAUCUGAGAUUUAUAUAUAAUAUAAUUUAUCUCUUUAUAGAUAUUCAGUUUGAAAAUGAUGAAGCACUUGAUAGUUUUAGAAGCGAAUUCUUCAAAGACUUCGUACAGAAGGGGAACCAAGAAGAGUUUCAAGCCCAAAUAGAUGAUUUGAAUGAGAAACGGAAGAAAGAUGAAUUUUUUGUUUAUCCAUUGAAUAUGUUUGUUCUUCAUUAUUCGCCUGACAGUAAAGAAGGAGACUACUUUAAGACAACAUCAGCGUUUUGUACAACAUACAGCUCAGGACCUGUGGCCUUCGUUUCGUAUGUUAUAGAAAGAAAUAUUUUAAUUUUAGAUUAUAAGAAUUAAUUGUGUAUUUCUGUAUUUAAUAGAUCAGAUUGAUGUUACAAUUUAAACAAUAGUAGUGCAAAGUAGGUAAAUAUCACAUUAAUAAUAUAAAUUUCCUACCAAAUAUUAACCAAGAAGUUGAUAAAUAUUUAGCUUGAGUUCAAUAUGAUUAUAUCUACUACAUAAUGUACAAAGUUUAACAGGAGGACCUGAGAGAUAAAAUAACUUUUGUCCUAAUCAAUAUUUUUAUUUUUUUAUAUUUUUUUAUAUACACAUUAUAUAAUACAUUUUUAGUCACUUGCG